rnacentral:rRNA from 1 species
GGCGGCGUGGAUAAGACAUGCAAGUCGAGCGAGAUUUUUUCCUGUAGCAAUACAGGGAAAAGUCUAGCGGCGAACGGGUGCUUAACACGUGGGCAAUCUGUCUUAAAGUGGGGGAUAGCUCGGCGAAAGCCGAAUUAAUACCGCAUGUGAUUAGAGUGGACAUCCAUUCAAAAUCAAAGCCGGGGCAACCUGGCGCUUUUUGAGGAGCCCGCGGCCUAUCAGCUUGUUGGUGAGGUAACGGCUCACCAAGGCUUUGACGGGUAGCUGGUCUGAGAGGACGACCAGCCACACUGGGACUGAGACACGGCCCAGACACCUACGGGUGGCAGCAGUCGAGAAUUUUUCUCAAUGGGGGAAACCCUGAAGGAGCGACGCCGCGUGGAGGAUGAAAGUCUUCGGAUUGUAAACUCCUGUCAUUGGGGAACAAGGUGCAUACGUUAACUGCGUAUGCAUUGAUAGU